UCAAUUUUAUCAAUGUUCUCGUAACGCAAACGCAGGUUUACUAAAAAAUUUGGGUAUUUAAAUUAUUUAAAGCACAUUUUAUACAUUAAAUAGGUGAAUUUUAUAAUUAUGGAACGUAAAUACCAUUUUUAUCUCAGUAGUAAUACUCGUACUACUAAAUAUGAUCCCGAGGAGGAAUACCUAAUGACCAGGAAGAGAAGUAUUGCAUUACCUGUGGGAACGGAGAUGCAAGAUACAACAGCAUUUCAUUUUCAGUGAGUAAAAAGGUUAAAAUUGGGCAUUUAUGUAAUUAUUUGACCAUAAAAUACAAGUUGUACGUACUUCAAGAAAAGAAUUUCAUCACUUCGAUGAUACGUACCUUGUGUACCGUACGAAAAUUGGUGAUAAUGUCGUCGUUUGACAAAGUCUAUAAAGAAAUGGAUAUUCGUAUUGAGAGCAAGUAAAUUUGAAAAAUGAAAAUACACUUCAUGUUCUUCAAGCAAACGGAAUUAUGUGUGGAUGGUUUUGUAUGUUUAGAUCCGUAGUUCCGUACCUAUGUUGUUGCUUACUUGAAGAUAUUGAGUUUCAAAAUGAGUGUGUAAUGCAGUUUUCGUUGAAUUUCAACGAUACAGCUGCCGUACCCUCUAAUUCCGAUUAUUUUUGUAUGUACCAGUAGUGAGUUUUUUUUCAAUUUGACUCGAUUGGAAAUCUUCAUUCUAUUUGUCGUGGUGCCUUACGAAAAUGCUGCACCCUUUUUUGCGGUGCCAACGGAGACAGAUUUUGAACAUAAAAAUGUUGAAAAAAAUCAACCAAGGAUUUCUUUUGGAACCGAAAACAAAACAGAUACGGUAGAAUUUCAGUCAUCAAAAAAAUCAAUGAACGUGAAUAAUGGUUUCAUUUUGCUGAAGUUUUUUAAAAUAUGCUGUUUUCUACAAUCGAGUUAAGAAUUUGUUCAAGACAUGAUAAUGUAGAUACUUCGUUACAAGAAUAAAUGAAUUACAAAAAUA